ACUAACAAAUUCGAACGUCGACUAGACUCGAAUUCAUCGGAGAUUAUUGGCAUCAGUAUGCUGUAGCACGAAGGCGAUGUAAUAGUGAAAAAUCAGAAACUUCUUUCGCACCCAUGUCCGUUCUGUGAUAUUCAAGGGCCAAGCAUACUAGUGAUGUGCAAAACGGCUGCAGAAUCACCUCGGUCCGGGCGGAGAUACCUUGCACGGCGAUAGUUCCUUUGGCGAUGAACCGCUUAGAGUGCUACUAGUGUGGUAUGUGUAGUGUGUUUAUCUUUGGUUUCAUCCCUACCAAGGUAAAUUCGGUUGUGUUGCUGUCAGCUUUGCAGCUAACAGAUAACCAUGUGCAGCACAGAACGACAUCAAGGAGAUAUUAAGCUGGGAACAAGAACAGAUGCUCCUUAUUCUGGACGGUGAAGGUUUCCAUCGAUCGAGAGGAUCUACGAGCACGUCAGGUUUUGGCGGCGCAUAUCAGCAAGCUUGUACCGUGGAUGCAAUAUUCCAAUAUUGGAAAAACAAACUCAUUGAGAAGGAAUCGUCGCCAGUUCAAUGACCUUAUUUUGACCAUCAGUCUCCACAUAUUUUCGAUUCCAACAUAUUUUCGGAGAAGCUCGAAGCAGAUUGUAAUAUGCAUUCCAAAGAAAACCAGACACAGGAGAACGUUGAGAUUCGAUGGAAUAUGGGAUUGAACAAGAAAACAAUUGUCUAUUCGAUGUUGACAUGAAGGUUGAUGUUGGGAUUUACAAGCGAACUGCAAAAAUCAUUGGUGUGCAAUGAAAGUUCCCAAUAUUUACGGACAAGACAGGAUAUUUAUUUUUAAUUGAAAUACAAACAUCAGUCACAGGUCGAGUGCGCCUUACGCUAUGCGGUGGAUUUUAUCUAAGAAGAUCUACUCGUGGAUAUUGGGAUACGGCCAUCAAAAUGGUUCCAAUGAUGUUACACUCCGUAUCAACAAUUUGCCAAUGUGCUUCAGUGCUCCGAGCUUGCCUGAUUUGAUUCGUUCCCAGAUGUAGGUCGUUAAAUAAAAUAGCUGAUUCAAAAGCUGCCCUAGCGGGUAAAACUGUGAAACGUCUAUCAGCUGGUAAAUUCAAAUGGCGAAUCGAUUCUAGUAUGUGCACGAAAUAACACUGCUGUUGAUUAGUUAACAGAAACAAAUUAUCGUACCAACUUGGAAGUGUGUUGCUAAGGUUUGCGAAGUUUUGACUCUCCAAUUAUUUUUUGGCUCUGCACAUUCAAUUUCCUAACACGGACUUGAAGAAAUCACAUCCUGCGAGUUCUGUUCGUCAAAAAAAAAUCUAAGGCAUGAGGAAAGAAGCGAAUCGGGAGUUGUUGGAAGCACAUGCACUUGCGUCAGUGCUGGUGAUCCCAGAUUUGAGUGUACGGUCCCGGUUGUACUUGCAACCAACAAUCGGGCUUGGACUAAUUGUAAUGUGUGAUAAGGUAAUAGAUAUAUUAUUAAUUAAUUAAUAUUUAAUUAAUAGAUAAAUAAUUCGACUGACACAUAUUCAACUACUGAUGAACAAGCAUAUGCAGUGUCAUCCAGGCUCCUGCUAGGCAGCCAUUUUGUCCUAGCCAACAUCUGCCUUUGUUGAAAUCAAAACAACCCAAUGCUAUUGCACGGGCGACAUGGGCCUAGAGCCGGCUAGGCCAACAUAUGUUGACUACUAUUGUUUGUGGCACUAAAAACUGGAUUCUAAGCGCACUGCGCACUUACCACUCUUUCAUUAAAUUCUUCUCAUAGACUGCCCGCAUAAAUAAAAACUUUAUCUGGAAUCCUCCAUAUUAUACAAAAAUCAUAAGUGCUAUGGUAACCACAUACGUUAAAGUCUAUUUAUGAUAUUACGAUAAAUGCGUUUUCCAGUAAAAUUAUAUGAAAAUAUAGAAUGAAGAUACGAGUUAUUAUUACAAUAUA